GGAAUUAGGUACCAGGAUCACAGGGAUCACAGGGAUCACAGGGAUCACAGGGAUCACAGGGAUCACAGGUCACAAGAUCACAGGAUCACAGUGUCACAGGGUCACAGGGAUCACAGGGAUCACAGGGAUCACAGGAUCACAGUGUCACAGGGAUCACA